rnacentral:rRNA from 2 species
UUGACGGUAUUUAACCAGAAAGCCACGGCUAACUACGUGCCAGCAGCCGCGGUAAUACGUAGGUGGCAAGCGUUGUCCGGAUUUAUUGGGCGUAAAGCGAGCGCAGGCGGUUUUUUAAGUCUGAUGUGAAAGCCUUCGGCUCAACCGAAGAAGUGCAUCGGAAACUGGGAAACUUGAGUGCAAAAGAGGACAGUGGAACUCCAUGUGUAGCGGUGAAAUGCGUAGAUAUAUGGAAGAACACCAGUGGCGAAGGCGGCUGUCUGGUCUGUAACUGACGCUGAGGCUCGAAAGUAUGGGUAGCAAACAGGAUUAGAUACCCUGGUAGUCCAUACCGUAAACGAUGAAUGCUAAGUGUUGGAGGGUUUCCGCCCUUCAGUGCUGCAGCUAACGCAUUAAGCAUUCCGCCUGGGGAGUACGGCCGCAAGGCUGAAACUCAAAGGAAUUGACGGGGGCCCGCACAAGCGGUGGAGCAUGUGGUUUAAUUCGAAGCUACGCGAAGAACCUUACCAGGUCUUGACAUACUAUGCAAAUCUAAGAGAUUAGACGUUCCCUUCGGGGACAUGGAUACAGGUGGUGCAUGGUUGUCGUCAGCUCGUGUCGUGAGAUGUUGGGUUAAUUCCCGCAACGAGCGCAACCCUUAUUAUCAAUUGCCAGCAGU